rnacentral:rRNA from 1 species
CCUACGGGAGGCAGCAGUGGGGAAUAUUGCGCAAUGGGCGAAAGCCUGACGCAGCGACGCCGCGUGAGGGAUGAAGGUCUUCGGAUCGUAAACCUCUGUCAGCAGGGAAGAACGGUCACUGUGCUAAUCAGCAGUGAAUUGACGGUACCUGCAGAGGAAGCACAGGCUAACUCCGCGCCAGCAGCCGCGGUAAUACGGAGGGUGAGAGCGUUAAUCGGAAUUACUGGGCGGAAAGCGCUCGUAGGCGGUAUGUCAAGUCAAGGGUGAAAGCCCCGCGCUCAACGUGGGAACUGCCUUUGAAACUGGCAAACUGGAGUGUGUGAGAGGAUAGUGGAAUUCCUGGUGUAGGAGUGAAAUCCGUAGAUAUCUGGAGGAACAUCAGUGGCGAAGGCGACUAUCUGGCACAUAACUGACGCUGAGGAGCGAAAGCGUGGGUAGCAAACAGGAUUAGAUACCCCUGUAGUC